rnacentral:piRNA from 1 species
UACAGCGAAAAUUUUAAAUCCAAAAGACAGC